CAUCAUGGUCCAAUUUCAACUAAUAAUACAACCUUGAUGAAUGAUUUGGAAACCUACGAAAACCUUGAAUCAGGUAACGUUUCUUAAAAACUUACACAUUUUAUUUUAUUAUUUAUUAAUUAACACAUUUUUAUUCUAACAUGUUUAAUAUUUUAUUUUGUAGAAUUUGGUGGAAAGUUGCAUUUAGCAACGGAUGAUAAUUAGUUCACAAAUUGUGAAUUUGUGAUGCAUGUAUUGAAAACGUAUGGUAUAAAUAUAUAUUUUUUAAUUUUUAUAUCUUCUGAUUUAAUUUAUUAUGUUAUAAUUCUAGAUUAUGAAUUUCAGGAAUCAAAGUGCAAUGCUCUUGAAGUGCUUUUUUAUUGAGAUGAUGUGCACAUGAAGAUUUAUUUUUUGUGGCUUGGAGUGUUUUAU
rnacentral:lncRNA from 1 species